AAAACAGCUGGUAAAAACUAUAAGAACUGAAGAAAUAUCUCUCCAGCUUUCAUCUCCCAUGCAUGAUUUUGGUGAGACUAAUUAGGGACAAAGACUGAGUUUUGAAUCAAAUUCCUCUACUUGACAUUUCAAACAGAUAUUUAAAAUACUAUCAGGGAUUUAUUUACUGUGUUCUCUGAUUCCCUCUGCAGGAUAUGUGACACCUUCACUAACAGACACAGGAACAGCCAUCAUUUUUGGUGUGGGCGGCCACAGCUCCUCUGGGUCAUGGAUCUGCUGCAGAGCUCACAUAAGCCUCACUAAGCCUUCUCAGUUGCAGUGGCAGGGAAAGAAUUUUUUUUGAAAUGCUGAUUUUUCUGGCUUGAUGAUUUACUUUAAUUCCUGAGGUUAUGAAAUUAGGGUUUAAUACACUUACCUGUGGAGAAAUAGCUAAAACAUGAAAACAACAAACCAAACCACAUCAGAAGAGAAAAACAGAUUUCUGGUGCUUGGAUGAGGAUUAAUUGUCCUGGGAAGGCAGCUUGCAUCCCAAGCAAUUCUUCAUGCCACUCAACAGGCAUUGCUGACAGGAACAAGGGGAACAAGAAGCUCCAGUCCCAGGAUGUGCUGCCUUGGGUGAGCUCUGGGUCUACACCAGCAACCUCUGCUUCUGAGCUGUGAAGAUUCUUGACCAGAGAAUAGUAGACCUUGAAGAAAUAAUAGCUUGGGUUAAUGCUACUUUGAGGAUGUCUGCACUUUUUCCUCAUUAUAUACUGUGGGUAAGAUUUAAAAAUUGUGAAAACUUUGGGAGCAGUUGAAAUGUGUUAAUAAAAUCAGCAGUAAACUGUAGGGGCA
rnacentral:lncRNA from 1 species